AUGAUUGCUGGUAAUUCCUGCAUGGCCCCAUAGGCAUAUUCACGCAAGCGUGCCUAUGGGUAAAGUCCCUGGAGCUUGCCAACAACCAUGUUAGCUGUAGUCUGGAUCGAUGAUGGCACAAGGAUGCUUGCUUUAAGGUAACAUUCUGGCAGCACAGCCAGCCCGCAAUUGCUAGUUCAAGCGGGUGGAAUCUGCCUAUAGGGGUGUUGCUUGCUUGCUGUGGAUUUGGGACACGCCCAAUAUCUAUCAUCGACCCAACGAAGUGCUCAACAUGGGUUGCUGAGGGCUAUUUUGGCACAGAUGCUUCACUCGUUUGCUUGGCUUUGAUAAAUGUUUAGAUGUCAUGAUGCUUGGGAUCCAAUAAAUAUAUGUGGGAAGCUGAGAGCUGGAACCCAAUGUCAUUCACCAGACGCUUUAGCUUCGUCAGUGUGUAUAAUAUGUCAUUGAACCCCAAUCCUCGAUGCCGACCUGAUUAUGACUUUUGGAUCGCAAUUAUCAUGGCUAUCAAAAACUGAGUAGGAGUCAUGGAAUAAGUGAACAAUUUGUGGCCUUUAUAGCUGUCAGCUUUCGCAUCGCCCGGUGUGUUUUGGGAAUCGCUUUGUGCAUUUGGUUGCCUGCCGUGCCUCUUGGCAUACGGUUGGUGCCACUUGCCGGGUGGUUUUCGGAAACAUCCACCGUAAAGGUGCAUGAGUGGUGUUUGGUUUGUUACGGGUGGUUGGCUCUUUGCUUGCGCAACAACUGCCACCCGACUUACCUCUUCAGUUUUUGCCUAGGCUUGUAUAGCCUAAGCAGAUUGUGGGUUUCCUGUGUUGCCUACCUACGUCACGGAAUUGUCCCGAUCGAUCAAAGUUGCUUUCGUCUUGUGUCGUCUUGAUGGCAUAAGAUGAACCAUGAAGCUGUCUCUUUGCACCGCAUCGUUAAUGCAUGCAUUGAUGUUGUGGCCCAUUGAGCAUUGCUUGGUACCUCGGAUACGGAACCUUAUGUGGGCAUCGGUCCUUAGGGAUCCUUGUUCUGCCCUCGUUUAGCGUUCGCGCUUCUCUUAGAAUGACUGCCCAGCCGGAAUGGGAAGCCAUUCUGGAUGGGCAUCGUCAAAGAG
rnacentral:lncRNA from 1 species